rnacentral:rRNA from 1 species
UACGUAGGGUGCAAGCGUUGUCCGGAAUUAUUGGGCGUAAAGGGCUCGUAGGCGGUCCAUCGCGUCGGGUGUGAAAAGCUGGGGCUUAACCCCAGUCCUGCUUCCGAUACGGGUGGACUAGAGGUAGGUAGGGGAGAACGGAAUUCCUGGUGUAGCGGUGAAAUGCGCAGAUAUCAGGAGGAACACCGGUGGCGAAGGCGGCAUCCUGGACCAACACUGACGCUGAGACGCGAAAGCGUGGGGAGCAAACAGG